GAUCCUGGCUCAGAUUGAACGCUGGCGGCAUGCCUUACACAUGCAAGUCGAGCGGCAGCGGGCCUUCGGGUGCCGGCGAGUGGCGAACGGGUGAGUAAUGCAUCGGAACGUGCCAUUGAGUGGGGGAUAACGUAGCGAAAGUUACGCUAAUACCGCAUAUUCUGUGAGCAGGAAAGCAGGGGACCGCAAGGCCUUGCGCUCUUUGAGCGGCCGAUGUCAGAUUAGCUAGUUGGUGAGGUAAAGGCUUACCAAGGCGACGAUCUGUAGCGGGUCCGAGAGGAUGAUCCGCCACACUGGAACUGAGACACGGUCCAGACUCCUGCGGGAGGCAGCAGUGGGGAAUUUUGGACAAUGGGCGCAAGCCUGAUCCAGCCAUGCCGCGUGAGUGAAGAAGGCCUUCGGGUUGUAAAGCUCUUUCGGCCGGGAAGAAAUCGCAUGGGUUAAUACCCUGUGUGGAUGACGGUACCGGAAUAAGAAGCACCGGCUAACUACGUG
rnacentral:rRNA from 1 species